rnacentral:lncRNA from 1 species
CCUUAACACAUCUUUUCAUACAAAAGAACUCUGUUUUUCCUAAAUUUAGAGCAUGCUGAAAUAUUCAGAGCCAUCGUUUAUUUGAAAAAAAAAAAUUGAAGCUGAGGUCGCGGCUAGUGCUGCUUGUGUGUGAUGAAGUUGAGGUCACGGCUGGUGCUGCUGAUAUGUGUCUCGGCUGAGAAAACGAGAAGUCACGAGGGAGAAGAUAAAAAAAGAAAUGAGGAAGAGCCAAGGUGAGGGGGGUGACGAGGCUAUCAAAGACUUUGUUGAGCUUGAGGGUUGUCGGUGGAGGAGUAAUCAACGACUAUUUUUUACGAGGAGAUGAAACGGAGCUGCUGGGAAUAUCGAUGGAGGGGGACUGUUGAUGGUAGGUGUUGGUGUACAAGAUGGCCUUGUGCGAGUGGUGUUGAUGGUGGAACUGAGAUGGAGAGAAACCAUAGGUAAGGGAUGAGGAGGAAAUGGCAUUUAUUGUUUGACCAAAAAUGAGAAGGCUAGAGGAAUUGAUUGUCCAGACAACAGUGAAAUAAAUGAGAGAUAACUCUCUGUUUUUUAUUCUAUGAAUGGGAGAUUUGAUGCAGGUAAAUAGAGAA